AGGGGUGUAACUCAGUUGGUAGAGUAAUGGUCUCCAAAACCAUCUGUCAGAGGUUCGAAUCCUCUCGCCCCUGCCA
rnacentral:tRNA from 1 species